GGCGGGAAGCAGCGGGUGGCAGCCCUGGCCGCUCACGCCGACCUCAGCCUUGGCGGGAAAGGUGUGGACGCGGGAAAAUUUUAGGCCGGCCAUCACUCUCUUCUCCACCACGACACAGACAGCAUCGGCGGGUUGCAGUGUAGCGGAGUGUACUGCAGCUGCUGGGAUACACACCCCCAGGAGGGCGAUGAUCAGAACGCUGUUAUUUGAAACAGUGUGUUAAAUUGAAAGUGAAUCUCGAAUGUUAUGAACUGAGAGGCCGCAGUGCAGCGCUCUAAUCGGCUGUAGAGGAGAAAAAACGAACCCCCCAAAAAUUGUGUUUAGUCUUGAAACCCGGCUUAAAUAACGCUUAAACGAGACAAAUGACCUUAAAGUGUGUUGGCUGGUGCUGUGUUGGUCAGGUUUCCGACCAGUGAAGCGGAGGAGCAGUUUCGGAGACCAGUGAAGCGGAGGAGCAGUUUCGGAGACCAGUGAAGCGGAGGAGCAGUUUCGGAGACCAGUGAAGCUGACGACCAGACCAGAGGUGAUAACAAGCACCGCACACGUAAGUUGAUCCACCAACAACAGAAGUUACGUCACGGGCUUCCACAAAACUGUCGAGAGAACACAAUAGCAACUCAAGACUCUCCCUCCCCACAGAAGACAGCCUCCAAGCACCUCAGCAACACCAGCAGCGGAAGACAACCACAGACGUCCCCCCCCCCCCACCGCACAGCCAGUGAAGUCAACAACAUAACACAACAAAAGCAGGUGUAGUAACCAAGGCAGGAAAGAGCUUCAUUAAUCCCUUUCCUGCAGUCAAAACAAAAGCGUAAAACAUCAACUUGUAUAAAAUUGCACCAAAGUUUUGAGUGCCACAGAAUUUAAGACGCAGUGAAAAAUAUUGUAAUAUCUCCUCCCAACGAUUUAGAUCUAAAUCUCCUCCCAACGACUUAGCAAAAGUCUCAACGAUUCAUUUAGAGUAUAAUCUAACCCAUUAACACGACCAACACCUUGUGUGUACCCGGUAGAAUCUAAUACAGAAUAUCUGUGACUAGGAGCCAUUAAGGGCAUGAACCCACAUCAACCCCAAAUUGUCCCCUUUGCUUAAAGCAUCCAAAGGUAGCAGGCAGGUACUGGUGUAUAAGGUAGAAGAGCAGAGAGGCUGUUGCUACUUCUCUACUCCUCGUAGACGCCCUCGAGAUGAUCUUCGGCAUAGUAGUAGACGUCCUCCUGCUGGUGGUGCCUAUACUCCUGACUAUCUACCUUGUCAGGAAGAGCAGGAGAAGAGCUCACCAUGUCUUGUGAAGUGAUCGGUGAGGAGCAGUUCCACAGUGGUGUGAGAAACUACAAGCACUUUGGUCUUUAGAGUGUGUGAAUGAAUAUCCUUCUAAAUAUGGAAUAAUAUCCCACUAUUUUGAAAACACAAGAACCGUAGACCGAAUAUUACGGUCCCAGGCAGCGACCUCAUCAGCUUAAGACCGAAAUAUUCAGUCUAUUUCGAAAAACACAGUCUUGUGUUUUGUAAAUAGUGGGUUAUCAUUCCAUUAACUAGUGUUAAUGGAAUGAUAACACACACUGGCACGUGUGAAAUUUGCUAUUCAACUUUAUUCUCUUCUGAGUGUGUGAAUAGAUUUCAAAGCGAAUGUGAGUUUAUGAAUGAAGCUCAGAUGGAAAUUGUGAAUUAGUGGGAUAGACGAUUUUAAGUAGGAGAAUUGAUAAAUAUUAAAACUCUUGUAAUUAUGAUGUUAAUCCAUAUAAGAACUUGUAAGUAAGUAUAGAGUAUAUAAUAUAAGGGAAUGUUAUGUACAGCUCACAUGAUAAUUUUGAAUGUUAUAUAGAUAUAUAUAGACGUCAUGUCUUGCAAUAUUUUAAUAUCAAAAUACGAAUGUUCAAUUUUUGCAAUAAAUUAGUCAUGGAGUAUCUUUCGUGUAUGUUGAAAGUAUGCUUCAUGAUGCGAUAUGAAUAAUGUAAAUAAGAUGAGAAGUUGUAUUUAUUUGUAUAAUGAUGUAGCAGUGCUUGCAGUUUUAGGCAUUUAGUGUAUGACGAUGUAUGCGGUAUAUAAACUUGUGUGAAUGAUACCUGCCCUGAUAUCUUGUGUAUAUUAUGCUCCAACUUCUUGUAUAGAAUAGGGCCAAUAUGUUACAUUAAUGUGAGUAAAGAGUAUGUUUCAUGA